AACGACUCUCGGCAACGGAUAUCUCGGCUCUCGCAUCGAUGAAGAACGUAGCGAAAUGCGAUACUUGGUGUGAAUUGCAGAAUCCCGUGAACCAUCGAGUCUUUGAACGCAAGUUGCGCCCGAAGCCUUCGGGCCGAGGGCACGCCUGCCUGGGCGUCACGCAUCGCGUCGCCCCCCAC
rnacentral:rRNA from 1 species